GGGAGUUGUUGUCAAGUAGAUGAGGAUGGUAACAGGUGUUGGGGAUGUGGACGAAGAUGGGAUGCUCAUGAGGUUGAAGAUGAGAUGCUGAUGAGGAUGAGGGUGGGAUGCUGAUGGGGAGGAGGGUGGGAUGCUCAUGAGGAUGAGGGUGGGAUGCUGAUGGGGAUGAGGGUGGGAUGCUGAGGAGGAGGAGGGUAGGAUGCUCACAGGGAUGAGGGUGGGAUGCUCAUGAGGAUGAGGGUGGGAUGCUGAUGGGGAUGAGGGUGGGGUACUGAUGGGGAGGAGGGUGAGAUGAGGAUGAGGAUGGGAUGCUGAUGAGGAUGAGGGUUGGAUGCUGAUGGGGAGGAGGGUGGGAUGCUGAUGUGGAGGAGGGCGGGAUGCUGAUGGGGAGGAGGGUGGGAGGCUGACAGGGAUGAGGGUGGGAUGCUGAUGGGGAUGAGGGUGGGAUGCUGAUGGGGAGGAGGGUGAGAUGAGGAGGAGGGUGGGAUGCUGAUGAGGAGGAGGGUGGGAUGCUGAUGGGGAUGAGGGUGGAAUGAUGACAGGGAGGAGGGCGGGAUGCUGACAGGGAUGAGGGUGGGAUGCUGAUGGGGAUGAGGGUGGGAUGCUCAUGAGGAUGAGGGUGGGAUGCUGAUAGGGAUGAGGGUGAGAUGCUGAUGGGGAUGAGGGUGGGAUGCUGAUGGAGAGGAGGGUGGGAUGCUGACAGGGAUGAGGGUGGGAUGCUGAUGGGGAUGAGGGUGGGAUGCUUAUGAGGAUGAGGGUGGGAUGCUGAUGGGGAUGAGGGUGGGGUGCUGAUGGGGAGGAUGGUGAGAUAAGGAUGAGGAUGGGAUGCUGAGGAGGAGGAGGGUGGGAUGCUGAUGGGGAGGAGGGUGGGAUGCUGAAGACAAACAGCACUUUCUCCUUAUCACUGAGCUACAAUGUGCUGCGUGACAAUAAGGUAAUGUUUGCAUGCAGGACCCACUGUGCUCACUCAAACCCUCAACCUUGAAAGUGGGCAAUGGUU
rnacentral:lncRNA from 1 species